rnacentral:rRNA from 1 species
UACGUAGGCCUCAAGCGUUAUCCGGAUUUAUUGGGCGUAAAGAGCAUGUAGGAGGCUUUACAAGUCUUUGGUUAAAGACCACCGCCUAACGGUGGGAGUGCCGAGGAAACUGUAGAGCUGGAGGAGGUUAGAGGUGCAUAGAACGCAUGGUGUAGGGGUGAAAUCCGUAGAUAUCAAGCGGAACACCGGUGGCGAAGGCGGCCUUCUGGACAGUGACUGACGCUGAGACGCGAAAGCGUGGGGAGCAAACAGG